rnacentral:rRNA from 1 species
GACGUGGGGGGCGAGCGUUGUCCGGAAUUACUGGGCGUCAAGCGCGUGUAGGCGGGCGUGCAGGCGGCGCGUGAAAGGCGGGGGCUCAACCCCCGGCGGUCGCGCCGAACCGCGCGCCUUGGGACGGCGAGGGGCGGGUGGAAUGGUCGGAGGAGCGGUGAAAUGCGUAGAGCCCGAUCGGAACACCGGUGGCGAAGGCGGCCCGCUGGAGCCGGACCGACGCUGAGACGCGAGAGCGCGGGGAGCGAACGGG